AAUGAGACAUUCUUAUUUAGCUGAUUUUAAAGCAGUUUAAAUUAAAUAUCAGACCAGCCAACUUGGACUUCAACUAUCCCUCAGUUGUUACCAAGCCCCCACAAUGCCGCUCUAAAAAUGGUCCCAUCCCGGAAGUAAGAAAAAUUGCAGUUCCACCCUCAUCCGCUGGGGGCUGGUGCCAGAAGCGAGCAAAUCCUCAUUGACUCCCAUGUUAAAAAUGCCGAUUUCACAGCAGAAAUAAACAUGUUUACAGCCUGGUGCCAAAACAUGUUUUUUGUCUAAAUUAUCUAGUUUAUACUCAUGACAACUCUGAGGGGGGUGAAUUUUUUUCUCACUCUUCUGUUUAAGUGUAUUGAAAGCCUAAAAUUCUGUAUAAUUAAUGAGCAUCCGACACACGUGACCGCCGCCUCAGACCCACGUGACCACAGAGCUAGCUCCGUGGAAAGGCCUCAGUACAGCCUCGGUCUGGCUUGGAAACUGCUCCGGCAUUUUGAGUCUCUGUGUUUGUGUAUUCUUCUUUGGAUAUUAUUGGUGCAAUUGUUGGACAAAAUGACUUGCAGUGGUAUUAAUUGCACUAAUAGAGCGUCCAAGGAGUCUCCACUUCAUUUUUUUCGGGAAGGACCUGAUUGGUGUCCAGAACCUGCUGAAGAAGCACCAGGCUCUGCAGGCUGAGAUCACAGGUCAUGAACCUCGCAUCAAGGCUGUCACCCAGAAAGGAGAGACCAUGGUGGAAGAAGGUCACUUCGCUGGUGAGGAAGUGAAGACUAAACUGUGGGAGCUUCAUGGACGUUGGGACACGCUGAAGGCCAAGGCGUCCCAGAGGAGGCAGGACCUGGAGGACUCUCUGCAGGCCCAGCAGUACUUUGCGGAUGCUAAUGAGGCCGAGUCCUGGAUGAGGGAGAAGGAGCCCAUCGUUGGAAGUCCAGACUAAGGGAAAGACGAGGACUUGGCCGAGGUAUGGAAGUCCCUUCCUGAGAAACUCCAAUCGCUUUUCUUUGCUCUCUUUCCAGUCCUUCAUAAUUAGUGUUUCUGUAUUUGUCAUUUCCUUCGGUUGUCUACCAGACGUCGUUGCUCGUUUGAGCGUCUCAUGGGUUAGGGGUAGAAGUGCUGGCCUCGCACAGGAAGUGAUGACAAACGUGUUCCCGUCGCUCUUAUUUCAAACGGUUUACAAGCUGUGAUGUGUGUUCCCGCUGCAGAGCAGCCAUGACACGUGGCAGCCGGCAGAAGGCUCACGCUUUUCCACUAAACACCCGCAGAGCUGCGUCUGCGGUGAACUGAGCAGGGUUUGUUUUACGGUGGCGGAUCCGAUUGGACCAUCGCUGCGAGAAAGCUCCACUUGUGUCAGACGAGCUGAAGGUUCUGAUGUUCUGCUCCACAGGCUCUCCUGAAGAAGCACGAGGCCCUGAUGUCGGACCUGUCGGCUUACGGCAGCAGCAUCCAGGCCCUGAAGGAGCAGGCCCAGUCCUGCAGGGACCUGAAGGCCAACGAGUCCCGCCUGAGGGACAUCAACAAGGUGGCAUCUGAACUGGAGUCAGAAGGUCUGAUGGCUGAGGAGGCUCCUAUGGUUCAGGCUCAGCAACAAGAACAUCUGGGUUCUGCUCCUGGAAAGGAUGAAGCCGACUCUAACACGGCGUCACCCUGGAAGGUGAGUUCAUUCAGCUGAUCAGAGGUCACCUCUGAUGGCCGCAGUCACGGCCGACCGUGCUGACAUCACACAGGAAUUCAGGUGACCCGGCAGGCACCAGGUGCUGGUGAAAGUGGGGACAUGUCAGCUGGUUGCCAUGGCUACAGUUAUUUUUAUGCAUCUGUAUGACUGCUGACUGGUGUGUGUUUCCUGUGACCUUUGAC